GCCGUGAAGAACAGCGUGAAGAUGGAACCUGCUACUGAGCACAUCAACUCUUAAGUGUGUCCCUGGAAGAUCUACCAUCAACUUCCAGAACUGCAACUGCUAGUACUGUCAGAUGGUGAAUGCUACUCAGGCAAACACCAUUGUUACACCACUUUGAAGGAGAGCCUGGUCAUUUGGUCCCCUCAGCUUCUCCCUUUCUCAGUGAUAUGUUCAUUGUGGCUGGGAUAAUUGUGGGGCACUCUUUCCUUCAUGGAGGACCCUGCUUGUCUGGACUCUGUGAUGUGGUUGUCCAUACUGCUUCGUGGGAGCCCAGACACGGCUACAGUAAACCUGGAGGACUGUGCAGACCUGGACAUUAGAGAAACAAUCAGGCUUCUGGAGGUGGAAUCAAAUCAGCUGAAGAAAUGGGAAGGGUACAGAACGUGGCCUCUUCCUGGGACCUCCCUCCGCUAACCACAACCAACAGGGCCCUUAAUGCUCUGCGGUGAAAAAAGGAGCAACAAGGCUGACCGUGACAUCGGGAGAGCUGAGGCAGAUCAUCUUAAACAUGAUGCACCUGGACGGUCCGGUGGCGGAGACUUCAAGAAUUAAAUAAAAUUACAAUGAAAUGGAUAACGUUUGUUUGACUGUUUGUUUACGCCUAGCUUGCUAUUGUAAUGUAGGCCUAUUAGAUUAUGUAUU